rnacentral:lncRNA from 1 species
GGAGUUAUUAUAUAUUUGCUUUUGAUGUUUUAAAAUUUGAUGUAGGGAUUGAUUUUAUUUAUUAUUUAUUUGAUAAAGUAUUAUAUUUGAAAGUUUUUAAAUUUUAAAUUUUUUUAAUUUUUAUAAAAUUUUUAAUUAUUUUAAUUUUUUGAUGAGUUAUAAGGACCGAUCCAUUUAGACCUUUCAUUUAUUAGGGCUAGGACUGGAUUGUCUAUUUGAUGGCCC